AAUUUUGAACAAAUUGUUUGAUAAGAAUCACAAGUUAACACAUCAAAUGCUGAUGAUAAAAGGAAGUGACCACAAUACACUUACACGUGAACUCGUACUGACCCGCAAGAUCAUUGACCAAUAAGAAAGAUGAUAUCCAAUCAUGCAUUGGUCAUAAGUGAAAUUUCUUUGCACGUGAAAACAUGUUAUCUAAUUUCAACAAUUUAUCGUUUAAUUAAGUAGGACACUCUGACCCUUUGACCAGACUAAAGACAUCAUACAUUUACAGUAUUAAUAGCUGACUCUUUUAUUUAAGUCAAUUAAAACAGAAUUAUCUUCUCUGCUGUCUUAAAUUAUUUUAUUCCGCUUAAUUUUCAAUUAGCAAAUAAAAUUGGUUAUU
rnacentral:lncRNA from 1 species